ACCCCAUCGCAACCCAACUGCAUCAUCAACGCUGCGUCCGCCGGCGUCGCGACCCCUCCCGCCGCGAACUGCACCACAGGUAGCCUCCCUAGCUGCUUCGUCUGCAUAACCAAAUCGUACGGCGCAGCAAUCUUCUUGGCAAAACUGAACACCUCGUCGUCGUCCAUGUUCCUCAAAACCCUAACAUCACCCAUCACAGACCUCACGUGCCUAA
rnacentral:misc_RNA from 1 species